AGUGAGACUUUAACAUCAGAAAAAGGAUGGACUUGUUGCAGUUGCUGUAGCAUUCAAAGUCAAGUGAUCAUUUCAAACCAAGCAUCAGCAACAAUUAAAAAUAUUCACUUGGUAUCUGUAGUUUAAUAAUGGACCAACAUCAACAUUUGAAUAAAACAGCAGAGUCAGCAUCUUCAGAGAAAAAGAAAACAAGACGCUGCAAUGGAUUCAAGUGUUCUUGGCAGCCCUGUCAUUCAGCUAUAUUGCUAAAGCACUAGGUGGAAUCAUUAUGAAAAUUUCCAUCACUCAAAUAGAAAGGAGAUUUGACAUAUCCUCUUCUCUUGCUGGUUUAAUUGAUGGAAGCUUUGAAAUUGAAAUUUGCUUGUGAUUGUAUUUGUAAGUUACUUUGGAUCUAAACUACACAGACCGAAGUUAAUUGGAAUUGGUUGUCUCCUUAUGGGAACUGGAAGUAUUUUGACAUCUUUACCACAUUUCUUCAUGGGAUAUAUAGGUAUUCUAAAGAAACCCAUAUUAAUCCAUCAGAAAAUUCAACAUCAAGUUUAUCAACCUGUUUAAUUAAUCAAACCUUAUCAUUCAAUGGAACAUCACCUGAGAUAGUAGAAAAAGUUGUGUAAAGGAAUCUGGGUCACACAUGUGGAUCUAUGUCUUCAUGGGGAAUAUGCUUCGUGGCAUAGGGGAAACCCCCAUAGUACCAUUGGGGAUUUCAUACAUUGAUGAUUUUGCAAAAGAAGGACAUUCUUCCUUGUAUUUAGUAGUUUGAAUGCAAUAGGAAUGAUUGGUCCAGUCAUUGGCUUUGCACUGGGAUCUCUGUUUGCUAAAAUGUACGUGGAUAUUGGAUAUGUAGAUCUGACACUAUCAGAAUAACUCCUAAGGACUCUCGUUGGGUUGGAGCUUGGUGGCUUGGUUUCCUUGUGUCUGGACUAUUUUCCAUUAUUUCUUCCAUACCAUUUUUUUUCUUGCCGAAAAAUCCAAAUAAACCACAAAAAGAAAGAAAAAUUUCACUAUCAUUGC
rnacentral:lncRNA from 1 species